rnacentral:rRNA from 1 species
UGGGUGAUCUGCCCUGCGCUUCGGGAUAAGCCUGGGAAACUGGGUCUAAUACCGGAUAUACCUCAUGGAUUGCAUGGUUUGUGGGGGAAAGCUUUUGCGGUGUGGGAUGGGCCCGCGGCCUAUCAGCUAGUUGGUGUGGGUAAUGGCCCACCAAGGCGACGACGGGUAGCCGGCCUGAGAGGGUGACCGGCCACACUGGGACUGAGACACGGCCCAGACUCCUACGGGAGCA